rnacentral:rRNA from 1 species
UGGGGAAUUUUGGACAAUGGGCGCAAGCCUGAUCCAGCCAUGCCGCGUGCGGGAAGAAGGCCUUCGGGUUGUAAACCGCUUUUGUCAGGGAAGAAAUCUUCUGAGUUAAUACCUCGGGAGGAUGACGGUACCUGAAGAAUAAGCACCGGCUAACUACGUGCCAGCAGCCGCGGUAAUACGUAGGGUGCAAGCGUUAAUCGGAAUUACUGGGCGUAAAGCGUGCGCAGGCGGUUUUGUAAGACAGAGGUGAAAUCCCCGGGCUCAACCUGGGAACUGCCUUUGUGACUGCAAGGCUUGAGUGCGGCAGAGGGGGAUGGAAUUCCGCGUGUAGCAGUGAAAUGCGUAGAUAUGCGGAGGAACACCGAUGGCGAAGGCAAUCCCCUGGGCCUGCACUGACGCUCAUGCACGAAAGCGUGGGGAGCAAACAGGAUUAGAUACCCUGGUAGUCCACGCCCUAAACGAUGUCAACUGGUUGUUGGGAAGGUUCCUUCUCAGUAACGUAGCUAACGCGUGAAGUUGACCCCCUGGGGAGUACGGCCGCAAGGUUGAAACUAAAGAAUUGACGGGGUCAUAGCUGUUUCCUG